UGAAUACGAGACGCUACGGCGUCGAAGCAGUCUAUGUCAGACUUCCAAGAAAAGCUCGCAAUGUCAUAAACAAAUAAUGCCUGUACCAUAACCGACACAGGUGGGUAGGUAGAGUAUACUAAGGGGCGCGAGAUAACUCUCUCUAAGGAACUCGGCAAAAUGACUCCGUAACUUCGGGAGAAGGAGUGCCUUAUUUAUAAGGUUGCAAUAACAAGAUCCAAGCAACUGUUUAUCAAAAACACAGGUCUCCGCUAAGUCGUAAGACGAUGUAUGGGGGCUGACGCCUGCCCAGUGCCAGAAGGUUAAAGAAGUUGGUUAGCAUUCGCGAAGCUGAUAACUGAAGCCCUGGUGAACGGCGGCCGUAACAAUAACGGUCCUAAGGUAGCGAGAUUCCUUGUCGGGUAAGUUCCGACCCGCACGAAAGGCGUAAUGAUUUGGAUACUGUCUCGGAGAGGGGCUCGGUGAAAUAGACUUGUCUGUGAAGAUGCGGACUACCUGCACCUGGACAGAAAGACCCUAUGAAGCUUUACUGUAACUUGAAAUUGAAAUUGGACUUUAUUUGCGCAGCAUAGGUGGGAGGCGUUGAGAGUAUUCUUGCGGGAAUAUUGGAGCCAUCAGUGAGAUACCACUCUUGUAAUGUUAGAUUUCUAACUUUGUAUCAUUAUCUGGUCAAAGAACAGUUUCAGGCGGGCAGUUUGACUGGGGCGGUCGCCUCCCAAACGGUAACGGAGGCGUACAAAGGUUUCCUCUGAACGGGUAGAAAUCGUAUCUAGAGUGUAAAGGCAUAAGGAAGCUUGACUGUGAGACCUACAAGUCGAGCAGGGACGAAAGUCGGUCUUAGUGAUCUGACGGUGCUGAGUGGAAAGGCCGUCACUCAACGGAUAAAAGUUACUCUAGGAUAACAGGCUGAUCUCCCCCAAGAGUUCACAUCGACGGGGAGGUUUGGCACCUCGAUGUCGGCUCAUCGCAUCCUGGGGCGGUAGUACGUCCCAAGGGUUGGGCUGUUCGCCCAUGAAAGCGGUACGCGAGCUGGGUUCAGAACGUCGUGAGACAGUUCGGUCCAUAUCCGGUGUAGGCGUUAGAAUAUUGAGAGGAGCCUUCUUUAGUACGAGAGGACCGAGAAGGACAUACCUCUGGUGUACCAGUUAUCGUGCCAACGGUAAACGCUGGGUAGCUAUGUAUGGAGAGGAUAACCGCUGAAAGCAUCUAAGUGGGAAGCCCACCUCAAGAUAAGUAUUCUCA
rnacentral:rRNA from 1 species